UGGGGAAUUUUGGACAAUGGGCGCAAGCCUGAUCCAGCAAUGCCGCGUGAGUGAAGAAGGCCUUCGGGUUGUAAAGCUCUUUUGUCAGGGAAGAAACGGGCCUGGUUAAUACCUGGGCCUAAUGACGGUACCUGAAGAAUAAGCACCGGCUAACUACGUGCCAGCAGCCGCGGUAAUACGUAGGGUGCAAGCGUUAAUCGGAAUUACUGGGCGUAAAGCGUGCGCAGGCGGUUUUGUAAGUCUGAUGUGAAAUCCCCGGGCUUAACCUGGGAAUUGCAUUGGAGACUGCAAGGCUGGAGUCUGGCAGAGGGGGGUAGAAUUCCACGUGUAGCAGUGAAAUGCGUAGAGAUGUGGAGGAACACCGAUGGCGAAGGCAGCCCCCUGGGUCAAGACUGACGCUCAUGCACGAAAGCGUGGGGAGCAAACA
rnacentral:rRNA from 1 species